GAUGAACGCUGGCGGCGUGCCUAAUACAUGCAAGUCGAGCGAACAGGCGAGGAGCUUGCUCCUCUGACGUUAGCGGCGGACGGGUGAGUAACACGUGGAUAACCUACCUAUAAGACUGGGAUAACUUCGGGAAACCGGAGCUAAUACCGGAUAAUAUAUUGAACCGCAUGGUUCAAUAUUGAAAGACGGUUUUGCUGUCACUUAUAGAUGGAUCCGCGCCGCAUUAGCUAGUUGGUAAGGUAACGGCUUACCAAGGCAACGAUGCGUAGCCGACCUGAGAGGGUGAUCGGCCACACUGGAACUGAGACACGGUCCAGACUCCUACGGGAGGCAGCAGUAGGGAAUCUUCCGCAAUGGGCGAAAGCCUGACGGAGCAACGCCGCGUGAGUGAUGAAGGUCUUCGGAUCGUAAAACUCUGUUAUUAGGGAAGAACAAAUGUGUAAGUAACUAUGCACGUCUUGACGGUACCUAAUCAGAAAGCCACGGCUAACUACGUG
rnacentral:rRNA from 1 species